AGAGUUUGAUUCUGGCUCAGGAUGAACGCUAGCUACAGGCUUAACAUAUGCAAGUCGAGGGGCAGCGAGAGGAAAGCUUGCUUCCUGUCGGCGACCGGCGCACGGGUGAGUAACGCGUAUCCAACCUUCCCCUUAGUAGGGCAUAGCCCGUAGAAAUGCGGAUUAAUACCCUAUGUUUUCCGAUGAGGACAUCUGAGCUGGAACAAAGGUUUACCGCUAAGGGAUGGGGAUGCGUCUGAUUAGGCAGCAGGCGGGGUAACGGCCCACCUGGCCGACGAUCAGUAGGGGUUCUGAGAGGAAGGUCCCCCACAUUGGAACUGAGACACGGUCCAAACUCCUACGGGAGGCAGCAGUGAGGAAUAUUGGUCAAUGGGCGCGAGCCUGAACCAGCCAAGUAGCGUGCAGGAUGACGGCCCUAUGGGUUGUAAACUGCUUUUAUGCGGGGAUAAAGUCACCCACGUGUGGGUGUUUGUAGGUACCGCAUGAAUAAGGACCGGCUAAUUCCGUGCCAGCCGCCGC
rnacentral:rRNA from 1 species